rnacentral:rRNA from 1 species
GUGCGCAAAUUACCCAAUCCUAAUACAGGGAGGUAGUGACAAGAAAUAACAAUACAGGACUUUUUGGUUUUGUAAUUGGAAUGAGUUAAGUAUAAACCCCUUUACAAGUAUCAAUUGGAGGGCAAGUCUGGUGCCAGCAGCCGCGGUAA